UUUCCGGUUGAUCCUGCCGGAGGCCAUUGCUAUCGGAGUCCGAUUUAGCCAUGCUAGUCGUGCGAGUUCAGACUCGCGGCACCGAGCUCAGUAACACGUGGCCAAACUACCCUACAGAGACGGAUACCCUCGGGAAACUGAGGUUAACCCGUCAUACCGAUCUCAAGCUUGAAUCGCAGAGAUCACAAAAUGCCCCGGCGCUGUAGGAUGUGGCUGCGGUUGAUUAGGUAGACGGUGGGGUAACGGCCCACCGUGCCCAUAAUCAGUACAGGUUGUGAGAGCAAGAACCUGGAGACGGAAUCUGAGACAAGAUUCCGGGCCCUACGGGGCGCAGCAGGCGCGAAACCUUUACACUGCACGCACGUGCGAUAAGGGGACUCCGAGUGCGAGGGCAUAUCGUCCUCGCUUUCGUGUACCGUAGGGUGGUACACCAACAAGGGCUGGGCAAGACCGGUGCCAGCCGCCGCGGUAAUACCGGCAGCCCGAGUGAUGGCCGAUCUUAUUGGGCCUAAAGCGUCCGUAGCUGGCUGCGCAAGUCCGUCGGGAAAUCCACUCGCCCAACGAGUGGGCGUCCGACGGAAACUGCACAGCUUGGGACCGGAAGGCUCGAAGGGUACGUUCGGGGUAGGAGUGAAAUCCCAUAAUCCCGCACGGACCACCGAUGGCGAAAGCACUUCGAGAAAACGGAUCCGACAGUGAGGGACGAAAGCCAGGGUCUCCAACCGGAUUAGAUACCCGGGUAGUCCUGGCCGUAAACAAUGUUCGCUAGGUAUGACACAGACUACGCGUCUCUGUUGUGCCGUAGGGAAGCCGAGAAGCGAACCGCCUGGGAAGUACGUCUGCAAGGAUGAAACUUAAAGGAAUUGGCGGGGGAGCACUACAACCGGAGGAGCCUGCGGUUUAAUUGGAUUCAACGCCGGAA
rnacentral:rRNA from 1 species